AAGAAUAAACAUAAAAGGAUGGGGACGUGGCUCUUUCAUUACCGCUGGCCUAGUGCCUAGUGACUCAGCGCCGUCCCGUCUUCCUGAAUCGUCUCGUCGCAGCCAAGCCUCCAAGGAGAAUUCCAUCCUGCAAGCCACCUACGCGGGAAGACUAGGUGCAUCCGGAGCGGAGCCGCAGGAACUGGCCCCGCCCAGGCCCAGCCAAUCAUGCUGCGCGCUGCAGACGCCGGCGCGGGGGCUGUCGGUAAACGUCGGUGCGCGCGCGUUGCUGGCGUGAUGGCGGGCAGGCGGGGGGCUCUCAUCGUGCUGGAGGGUGUGGACCGCGCGGGCAAGAGUACGCAGAGUCGCAAGUUGGUGUCUGCUCUGUGCGCCGCCGGCCACCGCGCCGAACUUCUGCGCUUUCCUGAUCGAUCAACGGAAAUUGGCAAACUUCUUAGUUCUUACUUGGAAAAGAAAAGUGAACUUGAGGAUCACUCAGUGCACCUACUUUUUUCUGCCAACCGCUGGGAACAAGUACCAUUAAUUAAGGAGAAGUUGUACCAGGGUGUGACCCUUGUUGUAGAUAGAUACGCGUUUUCUGGUGUUGCCUUCACAAGUGCCAAGGAGUUACAACUGACAGAUGCUGCCACACGGGGGGAGUUUGGCCAUGAGCGGUACGAAGAGAAAACCUUCCAGGAACGUGCACUGUGUGGCUUCCAGCAGCUCAUGAGGGACUCAACUUUGAACUGGAAGGCAAGUGUCUUCCACUGGACUCUGCCCCCAACCCACCUGUGUAACAAGUUGCAGGCCUCCAGGUAGAUUCUCCAAAAUAUGAAGCCUUGGCACCUCAUCCACGAGACCGUAUGUAGCUAUGGGCCCCUUUCAGACCUGAGCCCCAUCCCCUUUGCAUCUUGUCCCCUGAAAGACCUUAGCCACCCACAUGGUUGAGAACCUGAGUCCCAGGAGCUGCUCUAUACUUCACCUUGCAGUUUCCUGAUCCUGGAGUAGCCAGAAGUCCUUGUCUCUGGAUUGUGCUAUCCAGAGGAGCCAGUUGUGGUGUUAGUCCUCAGCCCUCGCCAUAACCACUUCCUAUCCCGUGUCAUGUGUACCAACCUCUUGUCGUGUUGCUGGCUCCCCACACACAGGUACAACCUGGGUCCUCCUUCUCUCCUUUUUGGGUCCCCUCCCUGUGUCCAGGAUACCAGCUGUACCAGGUGUCCCUUUGGUCCUGCUUCCUCACGGCGCUGUCGCAAGAGUCGACUUUAACCCUUCCUCUCCAGGUUACUGGCCUCUGCUCUGUCCUGGACACAACUUGCACAGCAGCAGGUUCUGGUGGUGGAUGCUUCCAGAAGAAUUGAGGAGGUCCAUGAGGAGAUCUGCACACUCUCCAAGGCUGCCAUCCUCAGUGCGGCACAGAAGCCCCUAGGGAAGCUGUGGCAGUGAACCUGGCCAAGACACCUACACCAGGCCCUUCAGACAUCCGAUGGCAUUUCAGGUUGUGAUUUCCAGAACAAUUCUGGUGCCCAAGACCCAUAGGGCCCCUUUGUGACUUGAGGCAGGCCUGUACCCAGACAUGCCUCAUGAAGUCCUGGCUGUGGGCUCCCAGUAGUGGACUUGUCUUCCUGUCUUAGAGAUGUUUUAUAUACUGUUUUCUUAUUUAACUUUAGUGGUUAAAAAAGAGAACUGAGCAGUUUGUCAGAAAUAUCAGUUACUUUACUUUUUUUUAAGUUCUCUGGCGUGAAUCCAGGGCCUUGCACUUGCUUAGGGAAGCCACUGAUCGACCACCCCAGCCCUUUGCUUAACUUUACCUUGAGACAGGGUCUCACUGAGUUGCCAGGCUGGCCCUGAACUUUCAGUCUUUUUGCCUCGGCCUCCUGAGUAGCUGAAGCUACAGGCAUCUCUUACAAGCUCCAAUAAAAACUUACCUAUAAAACA